UACAGGGGGUGCAAACGUUGCUCGGAAUUAUUGGGCGUAAAGCGCGCGUAGGCGGCUACUUAAGUCGGAUGUGAAAGCCCCUGGCUCAACUGGGAAAGUGCACCCGAAACUGAGUGGCUUGAGUGCGAAAGAGGGUCGCGGGAAUUCCCGGUGUAGAGGUGAAAUUCGUAGAUAUCGGGAGGAACACCGGUGGCGAAGGCGGCGACCUGGGUCGAUACUGACGCUGAGGUGCGAAAGCGUGGGGAGCAAACAGG
rnacentral:rRNA from 1 species